rnacentral:lncRNA from 1 species
UUGUAACCAGAAAUAUAUAAAAUGGGGGAUAAAAAGAAUAAAAAAAAAGUGAUACCAAGUGAUACCAAGGUAUAUGGGAUAAAGAAUACUAUGAAGUUGAUUGUCGGAAACGUUGAGUUUCCAAAGAAAGUUUAAGUAUGAUUUAGUCACGAGUAAUUUCUUUUACGUAUUAGAAAGAAUGAGAGCUACGUAUCACUAGCAUGGUUAUAUGAUAGAAAGGAUGAAUGAAUGUCUAAAAUAAAGAAUGAUACGAUACGAUCGUCAAUGACGAUAAGGUAUGAAGUAUGAAUGAUGAAUGGAACGUGUCAUGAUAAAAUGAUGUUAAAACAUGAUGGUGGAAAGUAUGAAAUGAAAUCUAAUGAAUGUAAUGAAUGUUUUAUGUAGAUGGCGGACAAUGUAAACAUGAAUGAUAAUGAAACCAUGAAUAUAAGUUGACUAACACGAAGGCUAU